GUGUGUGUGUGUGUGUGUGUGUGUGUGUGUCUUAUAUAAGUUACUGCCAUUUACAAAUGGUGGCAUAACUAAAAUUUAAGGAGAAUAAAAAGUAUUACAAUAUAUCUGUUCUUAUUUUUGUGAUAGAAUUGGUUUAAAUACAGCUGUUAUCCUUGUGAAAACAUAGCCACAUGUAACUGGAAGGAUGGAUAAAUAAUUUGGUUUUGUUCUUUUUACUUUUUGGGUUUCACACAGUGCUCAGAAGAGAUCUUCAUGUAAACCUCGAGAGCCUGGUGCUCUUAUGCUGUAAUUUACAAUGUGCUACCAAACACUUAAGUGGAGGUCUACACAUAUAUUGUAAGCCUCAGGGCCAGAGAUGUAUUACACAGUUGAGGUUGCAAAGCCACUCCAUUGCUGCCAAAUAAACAAAUCAGAGUUCAAAUCCUCCAUGUGUUA